rnacentral:rRNA from 1 species
UACAGAGGGUGCGAGCGUUAAUCGGAAUUACUGGGCGUAAAGUGCGCGUAGGCGGCUUUGCAAGUCGGGUGUGAAAUCCCCAGGCUUAACCUGGGAACUGCAUUCGAGACUGCAUUGCUAGAGUAUGGGAGAGGGAAGUGGAAUUUCCGGUGUAGCGGUGAAAUGCGUAGAUAUCGGAAGGAACAUCAGUGGCGAAAGCGACUUCCUGGACCAAUACUGACGCUCAUGUGCGAAAGCGUGGGGAGCAAACAGG